UACGAGGGGGCUAGCGUUGCUCGGAAUUACUGGGCGUAAAGCGCACGUAGGCGGCUUCUUAAGUCGGUGGUGAAAUCCUGGAGCUCAACUCCAGAACUGCCUUCGAUACUGGGGAGCUCGAGUCCGGGAGAGGUGAGUGGAACUCCGAGUGUAGAGGUGAAAUUCGUAGAUAUUCGGAAGAGCACCAGUGGCGAAGGCGGCCAACUGGUCCGGCACUGACGCUGAGGUGCGAAAGCGUGGGGAGCAAACAGG
rnacentral:rRNA from 1 species